UAUCUGGCUAGGGUAGCUACCGAAAAGCGGCAUCGUCACCGCCUGCCAGAUAUCUCUGACGAAACG
rnacentral:sRNA from 1 species